rnacentral:rRNA from 1 species
CGGCUCAGUAACACGUCGGUAACCUGCCCUAUGGUCAGGGAUAGCUUCGCGAAAGUGAGGGUAAGACCUGAUAUGGAAUAAUUCCUGGAAAGGAACUUUCCUUAAACUCGUGCCGUAGGAUGGGCCGGCGGCGGAUUAGGUAGUUGGCGGUGUAAUGGACCACCAAGCCGAAGAUCCGUACGGGCCAUGAGAGUGGUAGCCCGGAGAGGGACACUGAGAUACUGGUCCCAGCCCCACGGGGUGCAGCAGGCGCGAAAACUUUCCAAUGCACGAAAGUGUGAGAAGGGGAUCCCAAGUGCUCAACAUAGUUGGGCUUUUGCCAAGUGCAAAUAGCUUGGCGAAUAAGGGGUGGGCAAGACUGGUGCCAGCCGCCGCGGUAACCCCAGCGCCCCAAGCGGGAAUCACGAUUAUUGGGUCUAAAGCGUUCGUAGCAGGUUCUGUAAAUCUUUUGUGAAAUCGGCAGGCUUAACUUGUCGGCGUGCAGGGGACACUGCAGAACUCGAGACCGGGAGAGGUUAGAAGUAUUCCUUGGGUACCGGUAAAAUGGGUUAAUCCAAGGAGGACUACCAAUGGCGAAGGCAUCUGACCAGAACGGUUCUGACUGUGAGGA